rfam:Ictidomys tridecemlineatus contig032904, whole genome shotgun sequence.
GGAGAUGUAGCUCAAUGGUAGAACAUUUGCGUAGCAUGUAAAAGGUUCUAGGUUUGAUUUCCCAGCACCUCAA